rnacentral:lncRNA from 1 species
GUUGCAUUACAAUAAGAGCGUUGCAAAAACCAAUUUGAUACACCGCUCACCACUUCGAAGAGCACGAACAGCUGCACCACCAGUUUGUUGCAGAAAUUGAGACGAUAACUGCAACAUUUCAUAUAUGUAAACAGAAGCCCUAUCUGGUAUGGUUUUGGCGUUGGAUGCAAAGUGUCUGAUAUAAUGUAAAUGUGGCCUUAAUUUGCUGACCAUCUGCAGAGCUGCAUGCAUUUAAGGGAGCCCAUCCAGUCUUAUUGAAGUUAUGUAUUAGCAUUACAUAUGAAAUAUAGCUCAG